rnacentral:rRNA from 1 species
UACGAAGGGUGCAAACGUUGCUCGGAAUUGAUUGGGCGUAAAGCGCACGUAGGCGGCUUGGCAAGUCGGAUGUGAAAUCCCUCGGCUCACCAAAGGAAGUGCAUCCGAAACUGCCGAGCUUGAGUACUUAAGAGGAUCGCGGAAUUCCCGGUGUAGAGGUGAAAUUCGUAGAUAUCGGGAGGAACACCAGUGGCGAAGGCGGACGAUCUGGGAAGAUACUGACGCUGAGGCACGAAAGCCAGGGGAGCAAACGGGG